rnacentral:rRNA from 1 species
AAGUCGUAACAAGGUCUCCGUAGGUGAACCUGCGGAGGGAUCAUUACAGAGUUCAUGCCCUCACGGGUAGAUCUCCCACCCUGUGUUAUUAUACUUUGUUGCUUUGGCAGGCCGCCCGCGUGGGCUACCGGCUCCAGCUGGUAAGUGCCUGCCAGAGGACCCCAAACUCUGAAUAUUUUAUUGUCUGAGUACUAUAUAAUAGUUUAAAACUUUCAACAACGGAUCUCUUGGUUCUGGCAUCGAUGAAGAACGCAGCGAAAUGCGAUAAGUAAUGUGAAUUGCAGAAUUCAGUGAAUCAUCGAAUCUUUGAACGCACAUUGCGCCCCUUGGUAUUCCGAGGGGCAUGCCUGUUCGAGCGUCACUUCAACCUUCAGGCUCUGCUUGGUAUUGGGCACCGCCAGCAUCGGCGGGCCUUAAAAUCAGUGGCGGCGUCGCUAGGUCCUGAGCGUAGUAAUACUCCUCGCUACUGGAUGCUAGUAGAUGUCUGCCAUCAACCCCAACUCUUAAUGGUUGACCUCGGAUCAGGUAGGGAUACCCGCUGAACUUAA